rnacentral:rRNA from 1 species
GGGUACAGGGGAGCUUGCUCCCGCUGACGACCGGCGCACGGGUGCGGAACGCGUAUGGAACCUACCUCAAUCAGGGGGAUAGCCCAGGGAAACUUGGAUUAAUACCCCAUAGUAUUAUUUGAUUGCAUGAUUGAAUAAUUAAAGGUUACGGACUGAGAUGGCCAUGCGUAUCAUUAGCUAGUUGGUAAGGUAACGGCUUACCAAGGCAACGAUGAUUAGGGGCCCUGAGAGGGGGAUCCCCCACACUGGUACUGAGACACGGACCAGACUCCUACGGGAGGCAGCAGUGAGGAAUAUUGGACAAUGGUCGCAAGACUGAUCCAGCCAUGCCGCGUGCAGGAUGACUGCCCUAUGGGUUGUAAACUGCUUUUGUACGAGAAGAACACCCUCUUCGUGAAGAGGACUGACGGUAUCGUACGAAUAAGGACCGGCUAACUCCGUGCCAGCAGCCGCGGUAAUACGGAGGGUCCGAGCGUUAUCCGGAAUCAUUGGGUUUAAAGGGUCCGUAGGCGGGCUAUUAAGUCAGAGGUGAAAUUGUGCUGCUCAACUGUAGAACUGCCUUUGAUACUGAUAGUCUUGAGUUAUGGUGAGGUAGCCGGAACAUGUGGUGUAGCGGUGAAAUGCAUAGAUAUCACAUAGAACGCCGAUUGCGAAGGCAGGUUACCAGCCAUAUACUGACGCUGAUGGACGAAAGCGUGGGGAGCGAACGGGAUUAGAUACCCCGGUAGUCCACGCCGUAAACGAUGGAUACUAGCUGUUGGGUUUUCGGACUCAGCGGCCAAGCGAAAGUGAUAAGUAUCCCACCUGGGGAGUACGUUCGCAAGAAUGAAACUCAAAGGAAUUGACGGGGGCCCGCACAAGCGGUGGAGCAUGUGGUUUAAUUCGAUGAUACGCGAGGAACCUUACCAGGGCUUAAAUGGGAGAUGACAGGAGCAGAGACGCUCUUUUCUUCGGACAUCUUUCAAGGUGCUGCAUGGUUGUCGUCAGCUCGUGCCGUGAGGUGUCAGGUUAAGUCCUAUAACGAGCGCAACCCCUACCGUUAGUUGCCA